GACGAACGCUGGCGGCGUGCCUAAUACAUGCAAGUAGGCCUCAGUCGCGAACGGGUGAGUAACGCAUCGGCACCUACCUAUGAGAGGGGGAUAACUAUUGGAACCGAUAGCUAAUACCGCAUACUAGUAGAUUGACCUGGGUUGUAUUAGCUAGUCGGUGGGGUAAUGGCCUACCUAGGCAACGAUACAUAGCCGGCCUGAGAGGGUGAUCAGUCACACUGGAACUGAGACACGGUCCAGACUCCUACGGGAGGCAGCAGUGGGGAAUAUUGGACAAUGGGCGAAAGCCUGAUCCAGCCAUGCCGCGUGUGUGAAGAAGGUCUUCGGAUUGUAAAGCACUUUAAGUUGGGAGGCGUUACCAGCAGAAUAAGCACCGGCUAACUCCGUGCCAGCAGCCGCGGUAAUUC
rnacentral:rRNA from 1 species